GGCGAACGGCUCAGUAAUGUUGCGAUGAUUUGGUCUUUUUGGGAUAGAAUAACUACGGUAAGCUGUAGCUAAAAAUAAAGAAUAAGUCGCAACCCUAUCAGUUAGUUGGUAGUGUAAAGGACUACCAAGACAAUGACGGGUGACGGGAAAUUAGGGUUUUAUUCCGGAGAGGGAGCCUGAGAGAUGGCUCCCACGUCCAAGGACGGCAGCAGGCGCGAAAAUUGCCCACUCUUUUAAGAGGAGGCAGUUAUGAGACGUAUAAAUAGGAAAUAUUAUAAAAAGAUAUAAAAGAAUUGGAGGGCAAGUUUGGUGCCAGCAGCCGCGGUAAUACCGACUCCAAGAGUGUCUAUGGUGGAUGCUGCAGUUAAAAAGUCCGUAGUUUUAUAAAUGCAAUUAAAAAACGUAGAUAAAAUACGUUUAGUUUGUUAAGUAUAGCGAAACGGGUAGAGUGCAUAGUAUAGAUAGGCGAGAGAUGAAAUUACCAAGACCCUAUCUGGACUAACGGAGGCGAAAGCGAUGUACUUAAACGAAUUUAAGGAUCAAGGACGAAGGCUGGAGGAUCGAAAGUGAUUAGAUACCGCUGUAGUUCCAGCAGUAAACGAUGCCGACAAGUAAGAUACUGUGGAGUAUUUACUGGGAGAAAUUUUAGUUUUCGGGCUCUGGGGAUAGUACGCUCGCAAGGGUGAAACUUAAAGUGAAAUUGACGGAACUACACUACCAGGAGUGGAUUGUGCGGCUUAAUUUGACUCAACGCGGGAAAACUUACCAGAACCAAAUUUAGUAAAGAUUGAAAACAUGAACUAAGUAAAAGUGGUGCAUGGUCGUUGGAAAUUGAUGGGAUGACUUUCAGCUUAAAUGCUAUAAUUAGUGAGAUCUUUAUAGACAGGUAUUUAAUAAUACAGGAAGGAGAAGGCUAUAACAGAUCAGUGAUGCCCUUAGAUGAUCUGGGCUGCACGCGCAAUACAAUAAUUAAUAGAAAGGAAAGAUAAAUUUUUGAUUACGAGGGAUUAGUUUUUGUAAAUGAACUAUGAACGAGGAAUUCCUAGUAACGAUAAUUCAUUAAGUUAUG
rnacentral:rRNA from 1 species